rnacentral:rRNA from 1 species
UACGUAGGGGGCUAGCGUUGUCCGGAUUUAUUGGGCGUAAAGAGCGUGUAGGCGGCCAUGUAGGUCCGGUGUGAAAACUCGAGGCUUAACCUCGAGAUGUCAUCGGAAACCAUUUGGCUAGAGUCCGGAAGAGGAGAGUGGAAUUCCUGGUGUAGCGGUGAAAUGCGCAGAUAUCAGGAAGAACACCAAUGGCGAAGGCAGCACUCUGGGCCGGAACUGACGCUGAGGAGCGAAAGCGUGGGUAGCGAACAGG